UGUAUUUUGUCAUUGACUUCCAAUCAUUUUUUACAAUUUUAGUUAGGAUUAACCAAAACGACCUCCAAAGAGUUAUGCUCUCAUGAUAGACCAGUUUUUAUUGAAGAGGUUAACACGAGCGUGUAAUGGUCUAAGACUGUAUGGAAGUGAAAAGCCCCGAAGACUUAAUUUGGAGCGUGCGCGAUUAGUCUAAAGGUCCGGGCACCAACUACCAACGUUGAUUCAAGCCUGCAGUGAUCUGACAUCGAAGACGAGGGUGAGCCCAUGACGUUUGAAUUUACCUGUCUCCUUCUGUAUAUAUUUUGACUAGUCUUUUGGCUUUUUGAGACAUGUCUCUAUUUCCAUGGUCCACUGUUGAGACUUAUACUCUUUUACACAGACAACUCUGUAUAUGUGAUUUUUCAGGUUCUA